GCCGUAGCUCAGUGCUAGAACAUCUGCUUUGCAUGCAAAAGAUCCGGGUUCAAUCCUCAGCAUCUUCA